rnacentral:tRNA from 1 species
AGAGAUAAUGCUCAGUGGUAGAGCACAUGCCUAGAGUGAAUGAGGUCUGGGUUUGAUCCCAAGCACUUCAA